UAGGCUUUAGUUUAAUUAAAAUAUCUGAGUUGCAAUCAGAUGAUGUAGGAUUAUCUUGCAAGUCUUG
rnacentral:tRNA from 1 species